rfam:Leersia perrieri chromosome 1, whole genome shotgun sequence.
AUACGUCUAGCUCGGUCGGUAGAGCGCAAGGCUCUUAACCUUGUGGUCGUGGGUUCGAGCCCCACGGUGGGCU